rnacentral:lncRNA from 1 species
CAGAGUCCUACACGAAGAAACCUCAAACCCAGGAUUCCAGCCAAAAACAAUGAUUCCCCAGUCCCUGUGAAAUCCUGGAUGGAUGUUUAAUUGGGCAACAUAUUAGCUGACUCCUGUGGCAGCGGCAGGCCUCAACAGAGUUCCAGGGCUACCACUUCAGAAGGAGUAAAUGUGUGUGUGAUUCUGAAUCAUACACAGUAGGCCACUUGCUCUUAUCAAUUGGAUGAGUGAAUUCAAGACAAUAUGAGAGAAACUUCUGAAAAGUAGUGCAGUACAAUAUGCCCCCUAUGAAUUCAAUUCACAGCUUACCGAAAAGCUAACUGAGGAAUAUCUGGGUGGCUCAGUUCAGUGUCCAACUCUUGAUUGCGGCUCAGGUCAUGAUCUCGUGGUUGGUUAUAGGAUUGAGACCCAUGUUGGGCUCCAUACUCAGCACGGAGCCUGCUUAGGAUUCUCUCUCUCUCUCUCUCUCUCUCUCUCUCUCUCUCCCCCUCUGCCCCUCUCCUUCACUCACACUCUCUCUCCCUCUCUCUCUCUGCCCCUCCCAGGCUCUCUCCCUUUCUCAAAAAUAAACAAGAAAGAAGAGAAGAAGAAAGAAAGAAAGAAAGAAAGAGAAAGGUUAAUUGAGAAACUUUAAAGAGAAAGUUCCAGAGGGGCCUGGGUGGCUCAGUUGGUUAAGCAUCGACUUCAGCUCAGGUCAUGAUUUCCAGGUUCAUGAGUUCAAGCCUCCAUCAGGCUCUCUGCUGACAGUUCAGAGCCUGGAACUUGCUUUGGAUUCUGUGUCUCCCUCUGCCCCUCUCCCACUCACACUCUGUCUUUCUCUCUCUGUUUCUCUCUCUCUCUCUCAAAAAUAAAUAACCAUUGUUUAAAGAUUUAAAAAAAGAAAGCUCCAGGAAAACAUACUGAAAAAGGGACAUUUCAUUAUCUGUCAGGUCCUAGUACUAAAGAAGGCAAACACAAUUAUUAACUCGUUCAUUUAUUCUCACUCUCUCAGUCAUUCACUCAUUCAUUUAUUUAGUCACAUAAGAAAUAAUUAUUGAUUUCCACUUUGUAAUAAGUGUCAUGAUGGAUUACAGUGAGGUCCUCACCCUUAAGAAGCACAUAGUUCUGGGGUGCCUAGGUGGCUCGGUGGGUUGAGCAUCCAAUUCUUGAUUUUGGCUCAGGUCAUGAUCUCAGGGUUGAGCCCCAUAUUGGGCUGCACACUGAGCACAGAGCCUGCUUGAGAUUCUCUCCCUCCCCCUCUGCCCCUCCUCCAUUCACAUGCAUGCGCAUGUACACACUUCCUCUUUUUCUCUCUAAAAUAAAAAAAAGGGGCGCCUGGGUGGCGCAGUCUGUUAAGCGUUCGACUUCAGCCAGGUCACGAUCUCGCGGUCUGUGAGUUCGAGCCCCGCGUCGGGCUCUGGGCUGAUGGCUCAGAGCCUGGAGCCUGUUUCCGAUUCUGUGUCUCCCUCUCUCUCUGCCCCUCCCCCGUUCAUGCUCUGUCUCUCUCUGUCCCAAAAAUAAAUAAACAUUGAAAAAAAAUUUAAAAAAAAAAUAAAUAAAAUAAAAUAAAAUAAAAUAAAAUAAAAUAAAUACACUCCUUAAUAUAUAGACACCUGACACAAAUAAUAAGAAAAGAGCAACCCAGCUGAAUUAUGACCAGGGAUUAGGGAAAUCAGAGCAGCGAGAUACCAUUUUUAGCUAUCAUGUCAGCAAAUUUUAAAAUACUGAUAAUACCCAGUGUCUAAAGUUUGUGGAGAGAGGGCUUUUCAAUUGCUGUUGUUGUUGGGAAUAUAAAUUGAGAUACAAUUUCGAGAGAGCAAUUUGGUGGUAACUACCAAUUUUUUUUUAAUUCACACACCAUUUAACCCUGUAUUUUAGUUUGCAAAAACCCAUCUGGAUUCCUUGCAGUGAAGUGUUCCUUUCCCCUUAGUAACAGGAGCAAGAGUAACUCUGGGGAAUCACUUUCUUUCUCCAUUUCUAGCCCAUGUCACAAGGGGGCAUGUGCCCAGGCCUGGCUAACAAAGGCAUUACAUCCCUCUAGCCACAAUAAUUGGCUCACCGAUGGGCAUAUAAAUCAAUGUUACACAAUUUAGGGACAUUUUCCGGAGUUACUGAAAGAAAAUUGGCCUCUGUUUUCCAGUGAACUUGAACUUUUGAGAAUCAAAGCCUGGACACACUGGCAGCCAUUUUGCCACUAGAAAGGAAGGCCUUAAGAAUGGACAGUAUAGAGGUGGGAAGGGGAAUAGUCCAGUGAUGCCUCUUGAAACUCCCUGAUAUCUGAUUCUAAAGUUAGAUUCACUCUCUCAGCCAAUAAAGUUGCUUUUGGCCUAAAUUAGUUUGGGUUGGGCUUUCUGUUACUUACAACUAAAAAAUCUAGGCAGAAGCAUUCAUCUGUGGGAUGACUAACACAUGUGAACAAAGAUAUAUGUACACAGUCAUUGCAGCAUUUUUAUCACAGUGGAGAAAGUGUCAGCAACUGAAGUGUUCAAGAGGAGAAAUGCUUAAUUAGAGUUCACUCAAACUAUAUUGUGGAAUAUUAGGGUAUCAUACCAUUGGGUAAAAAGCAAAUUACAGUACAGCACAUGUAAUGUGUGUAAUGUGAUUACAUUAACGUGAAAAGGCCUAUGCAGUUAUGUAUUCAAUGCAUUAAUUAUUAUAAAAAUAUAUUGGUAUAUGCAUUUACAUUUGUAUUUACACAAAAUGAAGGGGGCUUUAACAUGUUAUUUUAUUUUUUUCCUGCAUCAAUUUAAAUGUUUGUAAAAAGAAGGAAAAGAGAAUCCAGACACAAAUCAUGGCAUAUGUAAAGGCAAGACCACACUGAAAGAGAAUACUAAAAUGUCUUUUGAGUUAGAUUAUUCCAAAUGCCAACCCUGAACUAAGGACUCCAGGGCAAGUAGUUUAUUUGGGAGGUAAUCCCAGAAAAUGCUGGUAGGGAAGUGGGGAAGAGAGACAGGAAAGAAAGGAAGGACAUAAAGGAUGCACCAAGCCCCAGUUACUAUUGAGGAUAAGUGGAACUUAAUUCUGCAGGGGAAACUCUGUGAAACAAUGUAGAGCAUGUAACUCAGGGAGCCUCCUCCACCUGAGGAGGAGGGAGUUGAGGUAUUUAUACACCAUUACUGAAAGCUAUUAGUGAGAGAUGCUUCCAGGGGCCAUGAACUUCCUAGCAUCUCAAGCCUUCUCCAUGCAUGGGCAGAGUGGGUUCUGGUGGUUAGAGAGGCCCUUGGGAAGAGAGUGUCAGGUGCUUGCACUUGGAAUUUGGGUCAGCAUCCAUAACAACAUUAAAUGUUAAGGGAAAAUGCAUUGGCACAGAGAUCAUCUGCUUUAAAUAUAUCUUCCAGGACUGAUAAGGAGCCCAGUGUACAUGGGAACAAACUGUGUUGGGAGAGGUGAUUGAAGGUACCUGUAAGAUCAAGGUGAGGGUGGGGGUUUGGGUUGGUGAAGAGAUCUUUCCACCAUAUUAAGAGUUUCUUGGCAAUGGUAGGCCACCAGAGUGUGUAAAUAGUAGAGUAAUAAGAUCAGAUUCAUAGAAAUUCAUUUUAGAACAGUAGAUCUAAUUAUGGAUAUGUAGUUAUAUUCAAAACAUUGAUGUGUAAAGAUCCACUAUUGUGUGUGUGUGUCACAAAUAACACUCAUCCUUUCAACAAAUAUCUAUGGAGAACCCACUAUAAAUAUCUGUUACGCCUCAAGAAUCUGUUUCCAAUCAUUUUAAACAGAGUUUGCAAGUGAUUUUUCUUAAUGAAAUACAGAUAAUUCUGUAAUCAUCAGGUGUUAUCAGUCCUAUUCCCUGUUCCAUGUGUUCUCUUGAGUGGGAGCAUGUAAGAAAGGAGCCACAGCCAUGGAGUAUUGUGCUAGUUGUGGGUGCCCUCCUGGAUAUAUCUUAAACAUGAAUACUAUCUGUUAGCAUUAAAAUUAUUAAGAAAUGUUGGAGUUUUUUAAAAUUUUUUUUUCAACGUUUAUUUAUUUUUGGGACAGAGAGACACAGAGCAUGAACGGGGGAGGGGCAGAGAGAGAGGGAGACACAGAAUCGGAAACAGGCUCCAGGCUCUGAGCCAUCAGCCCAGAGCCUGAUGCGGGGCUUGAACUCACGGACCGCGAGAUCGUGACCUGGCUGAAGUCGGUCGCUUAACCGACUGCGCCACCCAGGCGCCCCAUGAAAUGUUGGAGUUUUAAAAAAUCUUUUUAUUUAAAUUCAAGUUUGUUAACAUAUGGUGUAGUCUUGGCUUCAGUAGAACGUAGUGAUUCAUCUCUUACAUAUGACACCCGGUGCUCAUCCCAAAAAGUGCCCUCCUUAAUGCUUAUUGCCCAUUUAAACCAUCCCCCACCCACCUUUCCUCCAGCAACCCUCACCCUGUUCUCUGUAUUUACGAGUCUCUUAUGGUUUGCCUCCCUCUCUGUUUUUGUCUUAUUUUUCCUUCCCUUCCUUUAUGUUAAUCUAUUGUGUUUCUCAAAUUCCACAUAUGAGUGAAAUCAUAUGAUAAUCUCUUUCUCUGACUGACUUAUUUCGCUUAGCAUAACACACUCUAGUUCCAUCUACAUCGUUACAAAUAGCAAGAUUUCAUUCUUUUUCAUUGCUGAGUAGUAUUCCAGUGUGUGUGUGUGUGUGUGUGUGUGUGUGGUGUGUGUAUAUAUAUAUAUAUAUAUAUAUAUAUAUAUACACAUCACAUCUGUAUCCAUUCAUCAGUCGAUGGACAUUUGGGCUCUUUCCAUAAUUUGGCUAGUAUUGAUAGCACUGCUAUAAACAUUGGGGUGCAUGUGUCCCUUCAGAUCAGCAGUUUUGUGUUCUUUGGAUAAACACCUGGUAGUGCAGUUGCCGAGCUGGAGGGUAGUUCUAUUUUUCAUUUUUUGAAGAACCUCCAUACUGUUGGUUAUUAAAAUUAAAUUAGAUCACAAACUGGAAACAACUAUGACAAUUGGAAAGAGUUUUUCCAGCCAUCCAGGAAAGAGUCAGUGGGCUUGAACUAAAGCUGAAUUUUCAAGUACUGAAGGGAGAAGAUGAAUUUGGGCUUGUUAUUGUCCACUUGUUGCUUACCUCACCAGGUCCCUUCUGUUCCCAUCUCAGCCCUUUCUGUGCCCCAAGAGUCUGAUCCCUAUGGCCCACAGUACUAAACUCCUGUACCCUGUGAUUUUUGGUUGGUUUUGGCAAUAAGAAGCAUGGGUAGAAGAUCAGAGGGUGGAAAGAGGGAGAGUGGUCAGAGCGAUUAUUUCCCUGCUCCCCUAUCCCUGUCCACCACAGUUCUGACAGUGGCUGCAUUGUCAUUUCAGCUCCCAUUGGGUGGCCCUUCUUCCAUGGUUCCAGACUCACAUAUAAAGUACUUUUGAUAAUCCACUGCCACCUUGCCCCUUAUUUCCUAAGAUGUUAAUAGCAUCCCAUAGUUAACUCUGGGCCUUUCGUCAUUCUUUCUUAGCUUCCUCAUCUUUACUUUGCAGAGGGAGGUGGGGGGCUCUUAUUAAACUCUCUACCAUUCAGUCCUUUGAGUGUUUCCUACAGAAACUGUAUCUUUACAGAGAAUAAAAGAUUGUUUCCAAGGUCACUUGGUUAGACUUCAUGAUCGGUGGGAUGUGUCCAUGCGAAGUUGGGGAGAAGGAAAAGAAUAAAGACACUUCAGGCCCUGGCUGUAACAGUGAGGCAGAUAGUCAAUGGUGUGAAGGUUGAAGCCAGAAAGGUGCAUAGAAACCAGCAAGUUGUGGUGUAGCAGGAGGAAGGAAUGAGUAGGGUUGCUCACAGAUGAGUUAGCAUACCAGAUAUGUUGACUUGAGUCUCCAGGCACUGAUGUUGUCAUUGGAAUACAGGAAUUGGAGUUGGGGUGGAGGAAUGGGAUUGAGGUUGGGGAUAGAUUUGGAAAUGUGGAAGGCCAUUAAGAAAAUCUCAGGCAAAAUUUGCCACUUACAACUCCGUCCUUUUCUUUCCUUCUGUUUCUUCCUCAGCUCAACUAUACUCCUCCUCCUCCUCCAACCCAGAUCCCCUGUAUCUCCCCUCAAAGUUACCUUCCCAGGGUAACAUUGCAUAUUUUCAAGACCCCCCUUUCCCAUCACCAAAGGUUUUCUAGUUUCUAAUUCCUCAGAGGACUGAGUACUGUUUUCCACAAUGACAAUGACUUCUGGCAAAUGACCUCCUCUUAAUGUAAAAAUGAACCCACUGGGGUGCCUGGGUGGCUCAGUUGGUUAAGCAUCUGACUUCAGCUCAGGUCAUGAUCUCAGAGUUCGUGGGUUCAGACCCCAUAUCAGGCUCUGGCUGACAGCAUGGAGCCUGGAGGCUGCUUCAGAUUCUGUGUCUCCCUCUCUCUCACCCUUCCCCCACUCAUACUCUGUGUCUCUCAAAAAUAAACUUUGAAAAAAAUUAAAAAAAAAAACAAACUCACACAUUUCUGUUCUAAGAGAUAAUCUGUGUAUUUCAAAGGAUGGUGGCUGGACCACCAAUUGGGCAAUGACUGAAGUCCUCAUGUUACAAAAGAGGAUCUACCUCCUGCCAAGGAGACAAGACAGUGUACCAGGGAACUAUUCAGGAAUGCAGGAUAAACAUGGUCCAUCCUCCUGGAACAUCAGCUUUACUCAAAGAUUUGAGGAUGGGUGACAUUUUUAAACUAAAUAGAACAUUAGAGUAUACUAUGGAGAAGAUGCAAAAUUCCUAGCAAGUUUUAAGAUAAAGCAUAAUCCUCCAAAGCAUUCCCCGCCAAAAGGCUCACAUUGAAUUUGACCCGCUUGUGGGGUACUUGGUGGGGAAGUUGAGCUAAAUUAGUGCUUCUCUGAGGACUAUGCCAAAGAUGGGAAUUUCUGAACAUUGGACAGCAAAUAUUUUAGAGCCAGCAAGACUUAUGAUACCCCCAUAAAUCAUGCCUUUUGGCCACCCAGACACCAUUUACCACAAGCCUGUGCCUUAAAUGACAGUUCCUUGUUUAGCUGCCUUCCUUAACUUUGGAACUUAGUGCAUAAAAUACCUUUCAGAUUAUGUAAAUCCAUCCACUACAAGCCUUCUUUAGGUUUUUCUAUUGUACACUGUUUUAAGUGUAACACACUUGCUUUCUUCCUGCAGAGAACAUAUCCUGGUUCCAGAAAAGUCUUCCAAGGAAGAAGGGAAAAAAAUGCAUACACCAGCUUCUUGAAACAUUUGGCACCUGCUACACUCACCAAUAAAUCUAAACUGGACAGCUUGACAUUUCCUCAAACAAGACCCCACCUCUCAAAGAACAUUUGUCCUAACAUGAAAAACAAUAAAAGCCCAGCUGAUAGAAUGCAAAAUAUUUUCCCUAGUCUAACUGCAGAAGCAAAAUAAUUGCUUGCUUAGACAGCGAUCUGAACCAUUCCACAGUCCAUGACUAUUAUAACCCUGUUCAGAUGGCAUCAGCAAUAACCCUCAAUAAUCUUCAAAUUGGAAGGGUUUAUAUGCUGUCCCAACACUCAGCUUUUUGAAAUCUACCUGUCAACAGAAAACUGCACUCUGACCUUCUUAAGUAUUGUAUAUGCCUGCACGAAGGCUAUGGAACUCAGUGGAUCCUUUUUUACUUUGUAAAAACACAGUUGUCAGUUCCGGCCUUAGAAACAAUUCAAGUUAUAAACAAUUUAAUGGAGGUUUCCUGUCUCCUCCUUUCCCCUUUAACAUGGAGCCUUCCUCCGUUGUUUCCAAAGGAGACCUUAGCUUCCCCACCAAACCCUCACUCCCACAGACACUCCUCCCUUGCUACUCAAGGGCUGCCAAGUUCUCCCAAAAAGAGGAGGACAGGAUAUGGCAGAGCCUCUACCAGUUUCCCAAUCCAUCGAGCUGUCUCUCGAAGGGUUAGAAGUUUGGGCUUCAGCAGGCUCCAGGCAUUUUUGUUCCAGCUCAGCCACUUGGGGAAUCCAAUAGGCUUUUAUGAUGGCUUGGGAAGAUAACCAUCCCUUGGAACAUUGUUCUGUAAGAAAAAUGCAUCCAAAGUUCCAAGUGACUUUUGGAACAGAACAUUUUCACAUGAUAGGACUUCUGUAAUCUACAUAAUAUGUUGGAGACUUAUAUAUAGUUUCCAUGGACCCACAAGAUUUCAUGGGAGUUCCCUAGCAAUGUCACCAAAAAUUAAUCUAGAGACUUUGGGGAAGGGCUGGGAAGAUUAUACACUUGCUUAAAGCACUAGCAAAGUAGGAGCAAAAUGUUCAUUCUCUGAAUUUGAUUUGCAUUAUUUUGUAAAGUAUCAGACAUAGUCAUAUUGAGGGAAACUAGAACUCUUUUGAACUUCAUUUAUUUCAGGCUUAGUAUUGUUAUUUUGAAUUCUUUAUGGGGAAACUAAGCUUAAAGCAUUUUAAUAAUUUUAAAUAGGCCUCGAUUACUAGAUAAAGGAGAGAAAAGGCAAUAUCAAUAUUUGCACAAAUACCAGCCUUGGCUUCAGCACUAAAUGGUUAACAUCUGGGUGUCCAUUUUCUUAUGAAUUGGGUUUGCCUGAAGAUUCCUUCCAGUUUAACAUUUCAUGGUGUCAAUUAUUUCUCUCAUGUCUUCACGUAUGGUUCUCCAACAGGACCUUUCUGCCCUGGGUGAAUCUGUGCCAAGAUUCCUCCUGGUUUAGCUAGAAACACAGCUGUGCCUCCUGAUCCAUGAACUGGCAUCCCCAGAACCUGGUGAAGCAGCAGAUAAUAUGGAGAACCUCAGCAGAUGCCAUCUAUAAACCUCAGGAGACAAAAUCUGAAAAUGUUCCUGUGACCACUAAAGACUCCAUGUCAACAUUCACAAUAUUCCAGAUUAGACAAUGAUUGGAGUCCAUGUACCAGAGGCCAAAGAGUUGGCAAAUUCUCCUGACUUGUCACAAUAUGACACACUAAUUCCCUUCUAUUUUAAAAAACAGGUAGCAAGACAUUCUACGUUUUGAAAAUGGAAAAGUCAAUAUCUGCCAGUUGGUAUAAGAGAAAACAUUUAGUUAA